rnacentral:misc_RNA from 1 species
GUAACGCAAGCUUUACCCGUGUUCAUCCAACUGGAAGGAAAGGUCCGAGGAAGCGUGACAUUUGCACGAGAUAAUGACAAGUAAAUCGCACGAUUUUUGGAAUCGAAUUAAAAGCGUCGAACACGAACGUUCUUCCAGAAUCUUCGUCUGACGUUGCUUGGAGCAAAGCUGGGUUAAUUCGGUUGCUGGAAUCAUCCUGUUUGAUCAGGCGCUUCGCGAAUGGCGCCAGUGCUCUGUAUAUUCGCCCAUACGAUGAUUAUUAUACGAUCCAACGCAGAAUUCUUUGCUUACAUCUCGUCGACCAUCAUAUGCAUUUACACAUGAUACGAUAUUAAUUAUUUUCAACCGAAAAGUCAUAAUUCUGCGUAAGAAU